rnacentral:misc_RNA from 1 species
GAUGAAGAACGCAGCGAAAUGCGAUAAGUAAUGUGAAUUGCAGAAUUCAGUGAAUCAUCGAAUCUUUGAACGCACAUUGCGCCCGCCAGUAUUCUGGCGGGCAUGCCUGUCCGAGCGUCAUUUCAACCCUCGAACCCCUCCGGGGGGUCGGCGUUGGGGAUCGGCCCUGCCUCUUGGCGGUGGCCGUCUCCGAAAUACAGUGGCGGUCUCGCCGCAGCCUCUCCUGCGCAGUAGUUUGCACACUCGCAUCGGGAGCGCGGCGCGUCCACAGCCGUUAAACACCCAACUUCUGAAAUGUUGACCUCGGAUCAGGUAGGAAUACCCGCUGAACUUAAGCAUAUCAAUAAACGGAGGA